UACGUAGGGUGCGAGCGUUAAUCGGAAUUACUGGGCGUAAAGCGUGCGCAGGCGGUUUUGUAAGUCAGAUGUGAAAUCCCCGGGCUUAACCUGGGAACUGCGUUUGAAACUACAAGGCUAGAGUGUAGCAGAGGGGGGUGGAAUUCCACGUGUAGCAGUGAAAUGCGUAGAGAUGUGGAGGAACACCGAUGGCGAAGGCAGCCCCCUGGGCUAACACUGACGCUGAGGCACGAAAGCCAAGGUAGCAAACGGG
rnacentral:rRNA from 1 species